rnacentral:rRNA from 1 species
GACGAACGCUGGCGGCGUGCUUAACACAUGCAAGUCGAACGGUGACCCAGGGCUUGCCCUGGUGAUCAGUGGCGAACGGGUGAGUAACACGUGGGCAACCUGCCCCUGACUUCGGGAUAACUCCUCGAAAGAGGAGCUAAUACCGGAUACGACCACUUCGGACAUCCGAUGGUGGUGGAAAGUUUUUCGGUCAGGGAUGGGCCCGCGGCCUAUCAGCUAGUUGGUGGGGUAAUGGCCUACCAAGGCGACGACGGGUAGCCGGCCUGAGAGGGCGACCGGCCACACUGGGACUGAGACACGGCCCAGACUCCUACGGGAGGCAGCAGUGGGGAAUAUUGCGCAAUGGGCGAAAGCCUGACGCAGCGACGCCGCGUGAGGGAUGAAGGCCUUCGGGUUGUAAACCGUCUUUCUAGCAGGACGAAGCGAAAGUGA